rnacentral:rRNA from 1 species
GUUCGAUUAUGGCUCAGAUUGAACGCUGGCGGGAUGCUUUACACAUGCAAGUCGAACAGCACGGACUUCGGUCUGGUGGCGAGUGGCGAACGGGUAGGUAAUGUAUCGGAACGUGCCUAGUAGCGGGGAUGAUAACUACGCGAAAGCGGCAGCAGCUAAUACCAUACACCCUUCGGGGGAAAGCGGGGGACCUUCGGGCCUCGCACUAUUAGAGCAGCCGAUCGGAUUAGCUGUUGGUGGGGUAACGGCUCGCAGGCGACGAUCGUAGCUGGUUUGAGGACGACCAGCCACGCAGGACUGAGACACGGCCCAGACUCCUGGGAGCAGCAGGUGAAAUUUUGGAUUAAUGGAAACCCUGAUCCAGCCAUCCCGCGUGUGCGAUGAAGGCCUUCGGGUUUGUAAAGCACUUUUGGCGGAAAGAAACGGCACGGGAUAAUACCCCGUGCAACUGACGGUACCUGCAGAAUAAGCACCGGCUAACUACGUGCCAGCAGCCGCCCCGGUAAUGCGUGUAGGGUGUAAAGCGUUAAUCGGAAUUACUGGGCAUAAACAAUUGCGCAGGCAGUUCGGAAAGGAAAGAUCAUAAAUCCAGAGCUUAACUUUGGAACUGCAUUUUUUUAACUACCGAGCUAGAGUGUCAUCGAGGGAGGUGGAAUUCCGCGUGUAGCAGUGAAAUGCGUAGAUAUGCGGAGGGAACACCGAUGGCGAAGGCAGCCUCCUGGGAUAACACUGACGCUCAUGCACGAAAGCGUGGAGCGAGCAGGAUUAGAUGCCCUGGUAGUCCACGCCUAAACGAUGUCAACUAGCUGUUGGGGCCUUCGAGGCUUGGUAGCGCAACUAACGCGUGAAGUUGACCGCCUGGGAAAUACAGUCGCAAGAUUAAAACUCAAAGGAAUUGACGGACCCGCACGGCAGUGGAUGAUGUGGAUUAAUUCGAUGCAACGCGAAAAACCUUACCUACCCUUGACAUGUCUGGAAUCCCGAAGAGGGUGUUGCAGGAGUGCUCGCAAGAGAACCGGAGCACAGGUGCUGCAUGGCUGUCGUCAGCUCGUGUCGUGAGAUGUUGGGUUGAGUCCCGCAACGAGCGCAACCCUUGUCAUUAGUUGCUACGAAAGGGCACUCUAAUGGGAGCUACCGGUGACAAACCGGAGGAAGGUGGGGAUGACGUCAAGUCCUCAUGGCCCAUGUAGGUGAGACUUCACACGCACGUCCAUACAAUGGUCGGGACAAGGGUCGCCAACCCGCGAGGGGGUAUCCAGAAACCCGAUCACGUAGUCCGGAUCAUGAUCUGCAACUCGACUGCGUGAAGUCGGAAUCGCUAGUAAUCGCGGAUCAGCAUGUCGCGGUGAAUACGUUCGAAGGUCUUGUACACCGCCCGUCACACCAUGGGAGUGGGUUUUACCAGAAGUAGUUAGCCUAACCGUAAGGAGAGCUGAUUACGCGGUAGGAUUCAUGACUGGGGUGAAGUCGUAACAAGGUAG